CCUACGGGUGGCUGCAGUGGGGAAUAUUGGACAAUGGGGGAAACCCUGAUCCAGCAAUGCCGCGUGUGUGAAGAAGGCCUGCGGGUUGUAAAGCACUUUCGGUUGGGAAGAAAAGUUUGGCGCCAAUACCGCCGAACCUUGACGUUACUGACAGAAGAAGCACCGGCUAACUCUGUGCCAGCAGCCGCGGUAAUAAAGAGGGUGCAAGCGUUAAUCGGGCUCACGUAGGGGAAAGCGUGCGUAGGUGGUGAAAUCCCCGGGCUGAACCUGGGAACUGCAUUCGAUACUACAUGGCUAGAGUAUGGUAGAGGGAAGUGGAAUUUCCGGUGUAGCGGGGAAAUGCGUAGAUAUCGGAAGGAACACCAAUGGCGAAGGCAGCUUCCUGGACUAAUACUGACACUGAGGCACGAAAGCGUGGGUAGCAAACAGGAUUAGAUACCCCUGUAGUC
rnacentral:rRNA from 1 species